CUGAACCUAAAAUCGAUUAUUUUGGUUAGGUCUACUUUGGAUUUUUUGCAAUCGGUAUAGGAGGGCUACCUUGGGUCAUUAUGUCUGAGAUAUUUCCAAUAAAUAUAAAAGUUUCAGCAGGGACAAUCGUCGCAUUAACAUCGUGGACCACUGGGUGGAACAUUUUACAUAUUUGCGAUGGUUGGGGGAAUGUCAUUGAUUUUUAUUUGGAUGCUCGUCCCGGAGACCAAAGGACAGUCACU